CCUACGGGAGGCAGCAGUGGGGAAUUUUGGACAAUGGGCGCAAGCCUGAUCCAGCAAUGCCGCGUGAGUGAAGAAGGCCUUCGGGUUGUAAAGCUCUUUUGUCAGGGAAGAAACGGCAGUUUCUAAUACAGAUUGCUAAUGACGGUACCUGAAGAAUAAGCACCGGCUAACUACGUGCCAGCAGCCGCGGUAAUACGUAGGGUGCAAGCGUUAAUCGGAAUUACUGGGCGUAAAGCGUGCGCAGGCGGUUUUGUAAGUUUGUCGUGAAAUCCCCGGGCUCAACCUGGGAAUGGCGAUGAAGACUGCAAGGCUAGAAUCUGGCAGAGGGGGGUAGAAUUCCACGUGUAGCAGUGAAAUGCGUAGAGAUGUGGAGGAACACCGAUGGCGAAGGCAGCCCCCUGGGUCAAGAUUGACGCUCAUGCACGAAAGCGUGGGGAGCAAACAGGAUUAGAUACCCUGGUAGUCCACGCCCUAAACGAUGUCUACUAGUUGUCGGGUUUUAAUUAACUUGGUAACGCAGCUAACGCGUGAAGUAGACCGCCUGGGGAGUACGGUCGCAAGNUUAAAACUUNAAAGUUGAGUAGNGNGNGNGAGNGCGAGAGACGACGAGGAGAGG
rnacentral:rRNA from 1 species